rnacentral:rRNA from 1 species
GGGAAGAGCUCAAAUUUAAAAUCUGGCGGCUUUUUUCGGCCCCCGAGGUAUUAUGUAGAGACACAUUUCUGCGUUGGGACUGCGCACGAGUCUCGUAGCACAGAGUCUCAUAGAGGUGAGAGUACCCUGCACGUCACACGCACCCACAAUUCUGUGAGAUACGCUCUCAGAGAGUCGUGUUGUUGGAGAACACAGCGCAACACGUGUGAUAAUCCACCUCUAAAUAUAUAUUUGGGAGAGAGACAGAUAGAGCACAUAUACCGAGAGAAAGAGAAGAAACACUCUGAAAAAAGAGAUUUACACUAUACGUAAAAGUUGAAAAAGGGACACGUGAGAUCUCUGUCGUUCUCCUGAGAUCUCCCUCUCCCUUUGGGGUGGGGUGCUCUUCCCAUGAGAGGGUCUCAAUCUCAAUUUUCCCCGGGGCACAAAGGGGGGGGGAACGUAGCGUCGCUUCGGCGACGUGUUAUAGCCCCUUGUUGUAUGCACCGGCUGGGAUUGAGGACCGCAGCACGCCCUUUUUUGUGGCCGUGGGCUCGCUCUACGUACCGUGCUUAGGACGUUGGCAUAAUGGCUUUAAGCGACCCGUCUUGAAACACGGACCAAGGAGUCUAACAUGCUUGCGAGUGUUCGGGUGGAAAACCCUUGCGCGUAAUGAAGGUGAAAGGUUAGGAGCCCCUCGAGGGGGGGUGCACUGACGCCCGGCCCUGAAGUUCUCUGACGGCGCUGCGGCAGAGCAAGCAUGUUGGGACCCGAAAGAUGGUGAACUAUGCCUGAAUAGGGCGAAGCCAGAGGAAACUCUGGUGGAGGCUCGUAGCGAUUCUGACGUGCAAAUCGAUCGUCAAAUUUGGGUAUAG